rnacentral:lncRNA from 1 species
CCUCUUGUUUCUCAUUGGUUUGUGAUCUGUCCCCGCCCCUUGUUCCUCCCCCAAAUUUAAGGUGCGCUCAUCCCUGUUUUGGGAGCUCUCCUGGAGCAGUGCCCAUUAAGCUGAAGGUUCCUGAGAGGAUUCAAUAAACCUUGGACUUUGCCCUUCAUGAGGGCCUCACUCCUGCUUCCUCCAUUGUUGCUGCCGUCUCUUCCAAUAAGCCACUCCCCUGAUUCCCAGGAUUCAGAGGGGUGUCCCCUGCAAGGUCGGCAGUGUCGAGUCAGCCCAGAAAGCAAGAAGUUGCAAGAUCGAAUUCCAGUGUCAGAUUUCCUCCUUUGCCUUCUACAUUCUGGAACAUAUUUUAGCUAAUGAAAAUGGACAUCCUCAUGACAGCAAAAGCUGAUAGGUUCAGAGACAACUGUAGAUUUUGCAAGACUCACAUGUUGUGACACCAGAUUUUCAGAAGCCUUAAGAAAGUAGAAGACAAGGAAGUCCUGAAAUAAAUAAGUACUCAAUAUUGAAGUAUGUUGAUUG